UAUACAAUAAUAACAGAUCUUUCACAGAUCCCUUUGAAGUUAAGAUGGGAGUUAAGCAAGCCUUCAUCAUCACUCCAAGACUCUUCUCAAUAUUCCUUACCGUGAUGCUACAUCUGAACACCAACAAGCUUCCAGUUGGAGUGGAGCUAAGCUAUCAAAUGGAUGGCCCAGAUGCUCUAUGGGAUUACAGGACAAAGCAGCCUGAUUAUACACGCUACAUAGGAGCAACAUCUCCAGCACUAGAAGGCACAAGUGAUCUUGAUUAUCUAUUGCGGCCGUCUUCACACAAUCCUACUGUUCCAGCCCACAGACAUUGCUAUGCUGGAGAAAUUGGUUGGGGCGUAAAAGAAUUCAGUCAUCUUGGCAAGAGAAAUCUUCUCAGUGGCAUGCAGAUUACGGUGUUAGGUUCUGCUCAAAUGAAACUGGCUCAAGAAUGGAUUAUUUCGUCAAGCUGCUGAAGAUAAGAGCACUCAUCGAUACCAAACUCCAUGGCAGCCUCCACCAGAUAUUCUUGACAAGCAAGGCAACAACGCCAGGAGUAGGCUUGCCUGGAAUUGGACAGACUAUGAGGACUACAGCCAUCCGAAAAAGCAAGUGCAGUGCAGUGAGGGAGGCUAACCAUACUUCACCAGCACCUUUGCAGCCCACUGUAAAGCAACUGCCAGCAGCAAAAUCAAAGUAAUUCAGCUCUACAUACAUGCUCCUGAAGAUGAAAACAAGUUUAUGCAGAACAUCAUGUUAUGGAACAUGUAAUCAGCUGACAGACAACAGCAGCAAGCAACUUCAGGCCGCAAUAAACUUUAGAAGCACAUUGAAAGAAAACUGUUCUUGGGUGUCUGAAUUUCUUUUAAUACUGUA